GUUUGGUAAAAAGUUCUCUCUUCAUCUCCACCUGCCACCUGCUUCUUCUCGUUUUCGCAGUUUUUCUCAACUUCCGCUCUCUAGGCUAAAGAACCAUGGCAGCAUGGACGGCGGCGGCUCGUCAAGCCACGAAUCUCACUGGCCUUUCCUUUCCAAGAGUUGCUGCAGUUCCUCAAGCCGCUUCCCUCAUUCAUCGGCGCGGUCUAGCUGGUGGUGGCGAUCAUCAUGGACCUCCCAAGGUCAACUUCUGGCAGGACCCUAUGAACCCAUCUAAAUGGAAAGAAGAGCAUUUUGUGAUCGUCUCUUUAACUGGAUGGGGAUUACUUUUCUUUGGAGGUUACAAGUUCUUCACUAGAGGCAAGAAAGACAAGAAAGAAGAGAAGGUUGGAGAAGCUGGGCACUAGGUUUGGAACGAUGCCCAAAUAUAUCUAGAAGGAAAUCCGGGAUGAGGAUGAUUUUCAUUGGUUGUCAAGACCCUCCAGUUUGUGACAGUUUUAGUUGUACAUGACUCCCAAGUGGGUGAUGAAUAUUGGCUUUUUCUUGUUGCUGUUUUGAUACUUCAAUGUAACCGAUACCUUUUCCUACAUUCUAAAUAAUAAGUAGGACACUUUCUGGUAGACACCUUGAUAAAUCUUCACUUGCAGAUAAUUAUGCAUCAUUGCAGCAUGUGGGAUUGGUUAGGUGUCACUACCAACUGCAGUUUCUUCUUCAUCAUAAUACUGCUUCUUAAACUCACAGUUUGGAGCUUUUCCUCACUCCUUUGCCAAUUAAAUUUCACCCUGAUAUAUUGAGAAAUUCUCUUAAACAAAUCCUGACCUUGAUCACUAUGAAUCUUGUCGAAAAUGAUGGAUUGUUUAGAAUUUUCAUGAAUCAUGAUGUACCAAUAUGUGACAUUAUAUCUACCUGUAUCAUUAGACAGCCUUGUUUGUUAAAUGUGCUUUGCUU
rnacentral:misc_RNA from 1 species